rnacentral:rRNA from 1 species
UACGUAGGUGACAAGCGUUGUCCGGAUUUACUGGGCGUAAAGAGCGCGCAGGCGGUCGAUCAAGUCGAGUGUGAAAGCCCCCGGCUCAACUGGGGAGGGUCAUUCGAUACUGAUCGACUCGAAGGCAGGAGAGGGUAGUGGAAUUCCCGGUGUAGUGGUGAAAUGCGUAGAUAUUGGGAGGAACACCAGUGGCGAAGGCGGCUCGCUGGACCGGUUCUGACGCUGAUGCGCGAAAGCGUGGGGAGCAAACGGG